rnacentral:rRNA from 1 species
UAGGGAAUCUUGCGCAAUGGGCGAAAGCCUGACGCAGCAACGCCGCGUGGGGGAUGAAGGCCUUCGGGUCGUAAACCCCUUUCAGCAGGGACGAAAAUGACGGUACCUGCAGAAGAAGGUCCGGCCAACUACGUGCCAGCAGCCGCGGUAAUACGUAGGGACCAAGCGUUGUCCGGAAUUAUUGGGCGUAAAGAGCUCGUAGGCGGUUCGGUAAGUCGGGUGUGAAAAUCCAGGGCUCAACCCUGGGACGCCACCCGAUACUGCUGUGACUAGAGUCCGGUAGAGGAGCGUGGAAUUCCUGGUGUAGCGGUGAAAUGCGCAGAUAUCAGGAGGAACACCAGCGGCGAAGGCGGCGCUCUGGGCCGGUACUGACGCUGAGGAGCGAAGGCGUGGGGAGCAAACAGGAUUAGAUACCCCCGUAGUCC